UGCGUAGGCGGCCCGGUAAGUCAGGUGUGAAAGCCCGGGGCUCAACCCCGGAAGUGCAUUUGAUACUGCCAGGCUUGAGUAUGGGAGAGGGAAGUGGAAUUCCUGGUGUAGAGGUGAAAUUCGUAGAUAUCAGGAGGAACACCGGUGGCGAAGGCGACUUCCUGGACCAAUACUGACGCUGAGGCGCGAAGGCGUGGGGAGCAAACA
rnacentral:rRNA from 1 species